rnacentral:lncRNA from 1 species
GAGAAGAAGAAAUAUCAAGGGCCUGAAUAAACUGCUGAAAGAAGAUUCCUGAGUUGCGUCUUCCUUGCAGGCAAGGGGUCGCGACAAGUGGUGCCGAGACCCGGGAACCAGAACUUUCAGCAGUCAGGGGUGGUGCACCGGUUAGUCCCAGGUAAGUGGGAUCCGCGACCAAAGCGGGGCAGCUCCUCUGUAAAGAAAGAGAGAGCAUUACAUUUUAUUGCAGCUGCACUGUGUACUUUCGCUUUUGUUUUCUGUGUUUCUUUUGUUGUGUCAUUUCGCUUUUGUUUUUUGUGCUUCUUUUGUUGUUGUGUCAUGGGUGCCGCAUCUUCAAGUCCGCUUCUCCUGGCCCUAGAUGGCCUGUUACGUUCCAAGGGCCUGGAAGUGAAACAUAGUACUUUACAGAGAUUUUUACAGAAGAUAGAUAUCGCUGCACCGUGGUUUGCAUUUUCGGGCAGCCUUACUGUACCUAGUUGGGAUAAAUUAGGCAAAGAUCUUGACUUUGCUUCUGAGCAGGGCAUAUUAGAGGGUGGGGUGAUACCCCUUUGGAAAAUGGUCCGUAGUUGCCUUACAGAUGGCAGAUGUCAGGAAGCACUUACUAAAGGACAGGAAGUUCUAGAGCAAUUACAUGAGGAGAAAUCGGAGACGGCAGGAAGUGAGGUGCCUCAGGAGGAUGGGAGUGUGCGGAGCGUGAAACAGGGGAGGAGACGAUUGUAUCCAGAUCUCAGUACGCUGCGCACACCCCCAUGUGAAAGUGGGUCAGAGGAAGAGGAGGAUGAGGAGGAAGAGCUCGGGAGGCUGUCUCGUCAGCUAGAGAGUUUAGCUAUAGGAGAAGGGAACAGAAAUAAACAGGGGCUCAAGAAAAGCGAUCCCCCGGAUCCACCGCCGUAUGGUGGGGGUGUUUCGGGGAGAGCUUUCCAUGCCCAAACAUGGAGGGCUGUUAACGCUGAGAUGGGUCUUGCUUAUCCAGUUUUUCAGGAUGACAAUAGGGGAAGAUUCCAUGAACCCUUAGAUUUUAAAAUUGUGAAGACCCUGG